rnacentral:rRNA from 1 species
AAGGAUUCCCUUAGUAACUGCGAGCGAACAGGGAGAAGCCCAGCAUCGAAUCCCGCGUCGUAACCGGCGCGGGAAAUGUGAUGUAUGAGAGGGUCCGUCUAACUCGCGUUCGCGCGGCGCGUCCAAGUCCUUCUUGAAGGGGGCCUCAAUCCCGUAGAGGGUGCCAGGCCCGUCGCGAUGGCCGCCGGGCGCGAGUAGAUCCUCUUUUGAGUCGAGUUGCUUGAAAAUGCAGCUCUAAGUGGGUGGUAAACUCCAUCUAAGGCUAAAUAUUACCACGAGACCGAUAGCAAACAAGUACCGUGAGGGAAAGUUGAAAAGAACUUUGUAUAGAGAGUUCAAUAGUACGUGAAACCGUUCAGGAGUAAACCUGAGAAACCCGAAUGAUCGAACGGGGAGAUUCAUUCGUCUCUCGACCGGCGCCCUCGCGGCGUCGGCGAAGGCGUGCACUUCUCCCUUAGUAGUUCGUCUCGAACCGCUGGGCGCCUGACGAUGGACGGCCGUGCGGCUCGUCGGCCCCUCGCGGGGUCCGGCGAACCGGUCGCUCCUGUCGCGCGGCUCGGCGGUACAUAAGAGCGUAACGCGAGACUCGUUCUCACCCGGCGCGUGGCCCUCGCGGUCGCGCCGUCGGGCAGUCGUCUCGCUAGUCGGAGACGCGAUAGCUUUGGGUACUUUCAGGACCCGUCUUGAAACACGGACCAAGUAGUCUAGCACUUGCGCGAGUCAAUGAGAAGCGAAACUCAAAGGCGCAAUGAAAGUGAAGGCGGGCUUCGGCCCGUCUAGGGAAGAUGCGUCGCGUUCGCGCGGCGCCGCACUCCCGGGACGUCUCGUUCGCACUCGCCUCGGCGGGGAGAGUCGUACCUAUAGCGUAAGUGCUGGGACCCGAAAGAUGGUGAACUAUGCCUGGUCAGGACGAAGUCAGGGGAAACCCUGAUGGAGGUCCGAAGCGGUUCUGACGUGCAAAUCGAUCGUAAGAACUGGGUAUAGGGGCGAAAGACUAAUCGAACCAUCUAGUAGCUGGUUCCCUCCGAAGUUUCCCUCAGGAUAGCUGGCGCUCGGCUUACGAGUCGCAUCCGGUAAAGCGAAUGAUUAGAGGCAUUGGGAUCGAAACGAUCUCAACCUAUUCUCAAACUUUAAAUGAGUGCGAUCUUCGGCUUUCUUNAACCGAAGCCGAAGUCGGAUU